GACGAACGCUGGCGGCGUGCUUAACACAUGCAAGUCGAACGGAAAGGCCCUGCUUGCAGGGUACUCGAGUGGCGAACGGGUGAGUAACACGUGGGUGAUCUGCCCUGCACUUCGGGAUAAGCCUGGGAAACUGGGUCUAAUACCGGAUAGGAGCCAUUUUUAGUGUGAUGGUUGGAAAGUUUUUUCGGUGUAGGAUGAGCUCGCGGCCUAUCAGCUUGUUGGUGGGGUAAUGGCCUACCAAGGCGGCGACGGGUAGCCGGCCUGAGAGGGUGGACGGCCACAUUGGGACUGAGAGACGGCCCAGACUCCUACGGGAGGCAGCAGUGGGGAAUAUUGCACAAUGGGCGAAAGCCUGAUGCAGCGACGCCGCGUGGGGGAUGACGGACUUCGGGUUGUAAACGCCUUUCGCUAGGGACGAAGCUUUUUGUGACGGUACCUAGAGAAGAAGCACCGGCUAACUACGUG
rnacentral:rRNA from 1 species